AUUGUUUGUGAACACCCUCCAAGCACGUGCCAGCAGAGGCGGUAAGACGUGCGGUGUCAGUAUAGAGCAUCUUAACUAGGCGGGCAGAGCGUCUGAGCGUAGUGGUGAACACUUUAAACGCUGGGUAAUACUCGGAGGAUCGGUCAAAUGAGAAUAUUCCGGGUGGAAAGCCGAAGGCGAAGGCACCAGCAUGAAGGUCACUGAAGCUUCAACGCGAAAGCUUGGGUAGCGAACCGGAUUAGAGACCCGCAGUAGUCCAAGCCGUCAACAAAUUAUAGUUAAAUCUAUAACGCCUGGCGACACGGCGGCAACGCUCGUAGUCAAAGCAAUUGACAGUGAUAGAGAUGCGCGGUGGAAUAUGCUGUUUAAAUCGUCGAUACACGCAAAAUCUUACCACAUUUUU